rnacentral:rRNA from 1 species
UACGUAGGGUGCGAGCGUUGCCCGGAUUUAUUGGGCGUAAAGGGCGCGUAGGCGGCUCGGCACGUCCGUUGUGAAAUCGCCCGGCUCAACUGGGCGGGUCGGCGGAUACGGCCGAGCUGGAGCAAGCUAGGGGGUAAUGGAAUUCCCGGUGUAGUGGUGGAAUGCGUAGAUAUCGGGAGGAACACCAGUGGCGAAGGCGGUUACCUGGAGCUUUGCUGACGCUGAUGCGCGAAAGCGUGGGAGCGAGUCCGG